rnacentral:rRNA from 1 species
GAUGAACGCUGACAGAAUGCUUAACACAUGCAAGUCAACUUGAACUUCGGUUUGGGUGGCGGACGGGUGAGUAACGCGUAAAGAACUUGCCUCACAGUUAGGGACAACAUUUGGAAACGAAUGCUAAUACCUGAUAUUAUGAUUUUAGGGCAUCCUAGAAUUAUGAAAGCUAUAUGCGCUGUGAGAGAGCUUUGCGUCCCAUUAGCUAGUUGGAGAGGUAACGGCUCACCAAGGCGAUGAUGGGUAGCCGGCCUGAGAGGGUGAACGGCCACAAGGGGACUGAGACACGGCCCUUACUCCUACGGGAGGCAGCAGUGGGGAAUAUUGGACAAUGGACCAAGAGUCUGAUCCAGCAAUUCUGUGUGCACGAUGAAGUUUUUCGGAAUGUAAAGUGCUUUCAGUUGGGAAGAAAAAAAUUACGAUACCAACAGAAGAAGUGACGGCUAAAUACGUG